AUUGAACGCUGGCGGCAUGCCUUACACAUGCAAGUCGAACGGUAACAGGUCUUCGGAUGCUGACGAGUGGCGAACGGGUGAGUAAUGCAUCGGAACGUGCCUAGUAGUGGGGGAUAACUACUCGAAAGAGUGGCUAAUACCGCAUGAGAUCUACGGAUGAAAGCAGGGGAUCGCAAGACCUUGUGCUACUAGAGCGGCCGAUGGCAGAUUAGGUAGUUGGUGGGAUAAAAGCUUACCAAGCCGACGAUCUGUAGCUGGUCUGAGAGGACGAUCAGCCACACUGGGACGGAGACACGGCCCAGACUCCUACGGGAGGCAGCAGUGGGGAAUUUUGGACAAUGGGCGCAAGCCUGAUCCAGCAAUGCCGCGUGCAGGAUGAAGGCCUUCGGGUUGUAAACUGCUUUUGUACGGAACGAAAAGCCCUGGGUUAAUACCCUGGGGUCAUGGCGGUACCGUAAGAAUAAGCACCGGCUAACUACGUGCCAGCCGCCGCCGUAAUAC
rnacentral:rRNA from 1 species